AGGGCGCCCUCCUGUGGUAAACAACGGUACUGCGCAUGGGCAGGCUUUGCACCUGGCAUCAGUUGGCAGGUAAUAUGCUAAUCAGGGAGCAGUACCAUGCUAAUGAGUUGAUUCAUGCUCCGCCAAUCCCUGAAGGACAAUUAGCAUAGCCUCAGCCUGCUGUCUAUAUAAGGCGAGUACUCUUGCUGCUUGUGUUCCCCAUAUCAGCAAUGAAGGUGUCCUGCAAUAAAGGCUGUUGACAAGGAUCCGACGGUGUUGUGUCUUCCUUACUGGAUGAGGUGGGCGCGACAACUGGUGGCCCAUACGGGGACCCGAGAAUAUUCUCGUGGAUCAAGAAGUCUUCAGCUUCAGGACGGCGACGUUGGAAAAUUCCUGGAUAAGGGAAGAUAAGGUUCUCUGGAGGGCCAGUGUUGUACAGGAAUUUCCUCCAAAUUCAAACAUUUUACCUUGGAUGGAAGCUUGUCAAGACUUAGGAAGAUAUAAAGGGAAGCUCUCUGGGAUUCUAGAAGACCGGGGCACAGAAGAUUACCCAGAACGUAUUUGCAGUGUCUUCUGACACAUCUUGGUGGAAUUAUUGCAGAAGCAGCCCUGGAUAAUCAAGAGAAGGUCAGAGCAUAUCACCUGAAUAAUUUUCUUGACAUGCCAUCAUCAGUCAUAAAUGAGUGAUCUCCCAUCCAAAUGACCUCCUUCACUCUUGCCCAGGAAACUCUGGGCCAAAAAAUGGAGCAGACUGAAGGAACCCCACAGGAGGAACAAUCAACUAAGCGGACCCCACAGAGCUCCCAGUGACUAAAACACCAAACAAAAAGUUUGCAUGGAUGGUCCCAUGGAUCCUGCUACAUAUGUAGCAGAGGACUGACUUAUCUGACAUUUGGUGCUGGAGGGGUUUGAUCCUGUGAAAACUUGUUGAGCCAGCAAAGGAGGAUGUUGGAGAAUGGAGUAGAGGGAGGCACCCACUUAGAGGUAAAGGGGAGAGGGGAUUCAGUGGGGGAUUGUGGAAGGGAGAUUAUGAAGGGGGGCACCAUUUGAAAUAUAAAGAAAUCAAGUAAUUAGUGAAAGAUAAAUAAUAAAAUAAAAUCAUUCAAGCUAAAAAGGAAAGAAGUUCUUUGCUCAAUGGAAUUGUCAUGAUCACUGGGGAUGGCUAUGCAUGAUUGUGUAUACAAAGAUGACUUCAACCAACAUGCCUUAUGUCAGAAAAAAAUCAGAUCAAUUAAUGUAUGCAAUAAUAUCAGAAAGCUAUGAAUUUUUAGUUGUAUAAUAGAGUAGUAAACUACCAGAAAUAUGUAGAAACAGUAAUUGUUUGCAGGGACUCAGAAGGAUUAUGUCCUGUGGGGUUACCAGCAUCUCUUGGAGUAACAAGGGAAAGAAUACCAGGAAACACAUGCGGGGGCGGGGUAGAAUGGUUAGUUAAAGAGAUCUCUGCUUAGUACAAGGGCAUCAAUGAGUCUGGCUAGAAGGAAGAAAAAUUUGAAGGUCAAUCUUAAUUAAUAACUGUAAAAAACCCUGUAAUUUAAUGUAUGAGUAUAUAUUGGCAUAGAAAUCAUAUGAAUGUGAUUAUAAUUAUUCAAGGUAUGCAUAGGUUAAUGCCUGUUUAUGUAUUAUAAAGUAUUAUAUUUAACAUAUGGUUGCAUAUGUUUUAUAUAAACAAAGGAAACCCUUUCAUUGAAUUAUUUUUACUGGAUCACAGAUAUUAGAAUGUAGUUGUCCAAAUUCAAUUCCAGAAAAAAAAAAAUCAUGUAUAAUGGUAAAAUAUACUUUCUAUAAAGGUAUUCUUUUCAUUAUUAAAAAUAGCUGUAAUUAUAUUUAAUUAUUAUUUUCUUUUAUCAAAGACAGUUUGUAGUUUGAACUCCAUUUUUAGAGUGUACCCAGCUUAGAGCCAUUGCAGCAGCAUAUAAUUUUUGUAACAACACUUAGAGCAGAUUCGGUGAAUAGUAUUCUCCUGAAGCUCCUCUUUUUCCCAUUAAAUGACUGAUGUUAUGAGCUGGUAACUGUUAAAUAUGGUUUAUUUCCCACAGCCUCUUGAGUUUAAUAAAAUGAAGUACUUUCACUUCAAA